rnacentral:rRNA from 1 species
CCUACGGGCGACAGCAGUGGGGAAUAUUGCACAAUGGGGGAAACCCUGAUGCAGCAACGCCGCGUGAAGGAAGACGGUUUUCGGAUUGUAAACUUCUAUCAAUAGGGAAGAAAGAAAUGACGGUACCUAAAUAAGAAGCCACGGCUAACUACGUGCCAGCAGCCGCGGUAAUACGUAGGGGGCAAGCGUUAUCCGGAAUUAAUGGGUGUAAAGGGAGAGUAGGCGGCAAGGUAAGCGAGAUGUGAAAGCCUUAAGCUUAACUUAAGGAUGGCAUAACUAACUGUCUAGCUAGAGUACAGGAGAGGAAAGCGGAAUUCCUAGUGUAGCGGUGAAAUGCGUAGAUAUUAGGAAGAACACCAGUGGCGAAGGCGGCUUUCUGGACUGAAACUGACGCUGAGGCUCGAAAGCGUGGGGAGCGAACAGGAUUAGAUACCCCGGUAGUC